rnacentral:rRNA from 1 species
GUGGGGAAUUUUGGACAAUGGACGCAAGUCUGAUCCAGCCAUGCCACGUGAAGGAUUAAGGUCCUCUGGAUUGUAAACUUCUUUUAUAAGGGACGAAAAAAGGCUUUUCUAAGUCGUCUGACGGUACCUUAUGAAUAAGCACCGGCUAACUCCGUGCCAGCAGCCGCGGUAAUACGGAGGGUGCAAGCGUUAUCCGGAUUCACUGGGUUUAAAGGGUGCGUAGGCGGGCAGGUAAGUCAGUGGUGAAAUCCUAGAGCUUAACUCUAGAACUGCCAUUGAUACUAUCUGUCUUGAAUAUUGUGGAGGUAAGCGGAAUAUGUCAUGUAGCGGUGAAAUGCUUAGAUAUGACAUAGAACACCUAUUGCGAAGGCAGCUUACUACGCAUAUAUUGACGCUGAGGCACGAAAGCGUGGGGAUCAAACAGGAUUAGAAACCCGAGUAGUCC